GACGAACGCUGGCGGCGUGUUUAACACAUGCAAGUCGAGCGGUAAGGCCCUUUCGGGGGUACACGAGCGGCGAACGGGUGAGUAACACGUGGGUGACCUGCCCUCAGCUCUGGGAUAAGCCUGGGAAACCGGGUCUAAUACCGGAUAUGACUCCAUGACGCAUGUUGUGGGGUGGAAAGCCUUGUGCGGCUGAGGAUGGGCCCGCGGCCCAUCAGCUUGUUGGUGGGGUGAUGGCCACCAAGGCGACGACGGGUAGCCGGCCUGAGAGGGCGACCGGCCACACUGGGACUGAGACACGGCCCAGACUCCUACGGGAGGGCAGCAGUGGGGAAUCUUGCGCAAUGGGCGAAAGCCUGACGCAGCGACGCCGCGUGAGGGAUGACGGCCU
rnacentral:rRNA from 1 species